GAGACAGAGAGAGAGAGAGAGAGGAAGAAGUGUAGUGUAAAUAACCUGAAUGAGAAAAGCUAUGCACGAGUGAUAAGAGUAUAAUACAUGCUUCUUGCAAUAAAAUGUCAGAUAAGUACUUCUAGAAUCUCUUAUGAAUGUGACCUUUUUUUUGUGAUUUCCAGUGUAUAUUGUAGUUAAUAUGUUCACUGAAGCUGCUGCAGAGAGAUGUAAUUUUGUAUAAAUAUUUGUGAAUCUAAAGGAAUACGAAAACUUUAGUCAGUGUAUUUUUUUGUAUCUGAAUCUUUUGUGGCAUACCAUAAAUCUUGGUCAGUACUUAGUAGCUCCACCAACUAGCUGAGAGUUAAAACAUGAAGGCUUAUGAGUUGACAAACUUACAUGAACAUUCGUUUUUUCCAUUUUAAUUAAUACACUAUUUUGUUUGGUAGUAUGAUUCACAUUUUGUGGGGAUCGAUUAACCAGGUUUUGCUGAGCCCGUUUUCCUUUUUUUUUCCCCCUCUUACAGCUUAAGUGAUGGGAGCGGAAGGAAUGUAAGCCAAACAGCCUUCCAAUUUUACACAAAAUGCAUGUCAAGGUAGGGGACACAGUUAAAGUAAUAUCUGGAGAUGAUAAGGGGAAGGUUAGAUGGAGAAGUUACUGAGAUCUUCAGGCAUAACAACACUGUAGUAGUGAAUGAAAUAAAUCUGAAGACAAAGCAAGUGAAGAGCAAAGAAGUGGGAGAGCCUGGCCAGAUUAUUAAGAUUGAGGCACCUAUUCACAGUUCAAAUGUGAUGCUUUACUCUAAAGAAGAGAAUGUAGCAAGCCGGGUGGGUCAUAAAGUUCUUGACAAUGGGAAGCGAGUUCGUUAUCUAAUAAAAACUGGGGAAGUAAUUGAUGGCACAGAGAACUGGGAAAAUUUGAAGGAAGAGCAGAGCAAGAAAACUGAAGUAGCUGCUGCU
rnacentral:misc_RNA from 1 species